GCUAGCAAGCUGUAAUAAAUAAUCCUUUCUCUCCUACCACCUUGCCUCUUAACAAUUGGCAUGUCUUACCGCAGGCAGACGGACUCCUCUUUGGGCGGUAAUGUAUUCGCUAUAUUUUUUUAAUCUGCUGCUUGAUAAACCUAGCAACUUGAUGAAGGCAAUGUGCUAUGAGUGUCUAUGAAAAGGGACCAACAGAUGUUGAACGCUGCUGAAGCUCAAGAAGAGAAAUUAUUGUUAGACACAACCAGCCUAUUGGAGUUAUCCGAAGAAGAAGAAGAGCAUCAUAUGAUUGAACUGAUGAAAGAAGAGGUGACUCACUGUUAUCAUCAGGGACAGCAUUCCAAUUCUGCAGAUAAUAAAACUCAUCCAGAAAAAGAAAUUUUCGAAAUCAUUGGAUUAAAAACAUAGAUCUGUGCGCCACUUCUUCACAAAGAUACCACGUUUUGGGUUUCUCUUUUUUGUGAAAUCUAGAGGUUAUGUUGCAAUUUCAAGAAGAGGGUGGAACUUCAUGAGACAAUGACAAUCUUUUAAAGCCAACACAAUUUGGGACCUAUCUUAGCUGCUGCCUGUGGUAUCCUUGCUUAACAUGUAUAUUUUUAGUUAUUUUUUUAUAUAAAAUUUUUCAUGUUUAAGUGAUAAAUGUCAGAACUGUUACUUUUUUUCCUCUUGGAAAUUCCAUCAAAUGAAAUUGAAACCAUGUAUAUUUAUAAAGAAUUAUUUUGAUUAGGUUUAGCUGCCAUUCUGAAGAAAAUCCAAGUAAUAGUGGCUUAAACAGGAGAGAAACUAUAUAUUUAUCUCUUAUGAAGCUCUUCCUCUCUGCUCUACCACUCUGGUAUUACAUUGAUGGACAUUGAGGGUACUACGCAAAGUGAAAUAAGUCAGAGGGAGAAGGUCAAACACCAUAUGAUCUCACUCAUUAUGUAGUAGAUAAUAACAAUAAGAAACAAACACAUAGAGACAGAGAUUGGAUUGGUGGUUACCAGA